GUAGUGAUUUCUGUGUGUCGGUGUUUCUGCUUGAGCUAUGCAAAUAGUGAGGAUUUGCCGCCUAAGGGGAUUCUCUUGGCUCUGUUUGUGGCUUUUUUAGGCUACGCACAUUGGGGUAACGCUCAUUUGGGC
rfam:Helicobacter sp. MIT 09-6949 CONTIG_14, whole genome shotgun sequence.